AUAUGGCCUCAAAUCAGGUAGGACUACCCGCUGAACUUAAGCAUAUCAAUAAGCGGAGGAAAAGAAACUAACAAGGAUUCCCCUAGUAACGGCGAGUGAAGCGGGAAGAGCUCAAAUUUGAAAUCUGGUGGCCUCAGGUCAUCCGAGUUGUAAUCUAUAGAAACGUUUUCCGUGCUGGCUCAUGUACAAGUCCCUUGGAACAGGGCGUCAUAGAGGGUGAGAAUCCCGUCCUUGACAUGAACUACCAGUGCUCUGUGAUACGUUUUCAACGAGUCGAGUUGUUUGGGAAUGCAGCUCAAAAUGGGUGGUAAAUUCCAUCUAAAGCUAAAUAUUGGCGAGAGACCGAUAGCGAACAAGUACCGUGAGGGAAAGAUGAAAAGCACUUUGGAAAGAGAGUUAAACAGUAUGUGAAAUUGUUAAAAGGGAAACGAUUGAAGUCAGUCGUGCUCUUUGGAUUCAGCCGGUUCUGCCGGUGUACUUCCAUUGAGUGGGGUCAACAUCAGUUUUGAUCGCUGGAUAAAGGCAGGAAGAAUGUAGCACCUCCGGGUGAACUUAUAGCUUUCUGUCACAUACAGUGGUUG
rnacentral:rRNA from 1 species